rnacentral:siRNA from 1 species
UCAAGGAUUACAUAUGUUGAUGAA